AUAAUCCCUAUUUUGAAGUGUGAUCUUUCAUUUUCACAUUUUGAAGCUACUCCACAUUAAAUGUAAACUUCGCAAUUUAAAAUCAGUGACUCAUGCUACAAACUGCAGGAGUUGAUAUCAUGAGAAAAACAGGAUGGCAAAGGGUUGUGGUACUGUACAGAUAUAUGCUGUAUAAAAUAUAAGCUUCAGAACCCAGUUGGAUGUAAAACAGAAAAUAGAGGACUUGGACUUAAUAUAUUUUUACCAUGAAAAUAGUAGCUGAACUGGAGAGGAUUUUAAAAUUUGCAUAAAUCAUUGAUUUACUCUCUUUCAUCUCUCAGUUUAUAGUUUCUACAGUUACAAAAUGAAAGCCUAUUGGGCUGCUAGAGAAACUGGGAUAUACUAGGCAUGUGAUAUUCCAGCAUGUAAUAAAAAUUAUUAUAGUGGAACCUCCAUUAAAUGUUAUUCUUUUUAACAUUUUCCCUCAUUUAACUUUCAAGUCCAAUGAUCCCAAGUCAGUAAACCCAGUGAUAAUUUCCUUAAUUUUAGGAUUUUAUCAUUGUAGUGUUUGAAAAACUUCCUCCACAAAGAAACCAUAAUGGGGAUUUCAUUGUAUUUACCAUUGAUAAUACAAUGUCAAAGGAAGUGCCAAUUAUAAUUAAUUCAACAAUGGUUUUAAAAUAUGAACUGGACUGAAUGAAGUUGAUACAUUUUUCCUGGGAUGGUUGUUUGGCCCAAAAUUAGUUACUUGUUUACAAGGUGGUCACACUGGUGAUUUUAUUGUAAGUACAAUUGUACAACCACUACUUUGCUCAUCUCUUGAUCUAUGUGGUAUUAGAGUACUAAUAUAUGCUAGGUUAUUUUCUGUAGUUGUUUUUUGUGGGAGGUACUUGUCCAGAAUGCUGUAUAAAUCAGUUUUUAUAGUUACAGUAGAUGAUUUUCCACUGUUUAAUUCCAUCAUAUUUGGAAAUUAUUUACGGAGAAGAAAAUUCUACACAAUUUCUGUGUGAUUUGCUUUGAAUAAAGAAGUUCAAUGCAGAAGAUAUUGUUCAGUAUAGGAACAUAUAGAAUGGAGAUCUGCAUAUGCACUUUCUUCCUGUAAGUUUAUAUUUAAAUGUUUUGGAAGGGGGAUGUGCAAGGGAAGUGUGGACCAGGAAGAACUGUUCCUGUCACAAAGAAUGUAAAAGUAUUCCACUGG